CCAGAAUCCCCAGGGGACUGCUGGGGAGUCACCGAGGACUGGCAUCCGCUGACUGGCUCACCUCUCUGGUCCUGCAGAGGAAGAGUGGCUGGGAGCUGCAGCGGGGCCGUUGUCUCUGGGCCCCCUGGCCCUGGAGCAGGAGAGCCCUGUCUGGCAGGCUUGUAAUGGUAGUUGGGAGCACAGGCUCUGAGGCCUCAGGUUUGAAGCCAGGCUCUGCUUCCAGCGGUGUGACUUCAGGCAAGUGACAUGACCACUCUGUGCCUCAGCUGCCCAGGGGAGAUAAUAAUACUGGCCUCGCAGGGUGGUGGGGAUCAAGUGAGAUGCGAGGUCAUGGGUGUGAAGUAGCCUGUGUGCUGGAUGCAGUAAGCAUUCUAUGAAUGGCCAAGGUGGCUGUUUAGGGCGCAUGGCUCAAUGGUAGCUGAGCCCAGGCCUCUCAGUACUGUUCAAACAUAGCAGAAAGGACUAGAGACCCCAAGGUAGAGGGACUUCCAUUUCUUUUUUUUUUUUUGUCUUUUUGGGUCCGCACCUGUGACACAUGGAAGCGCCCAGGCUAGAGGUGGAAUCAGAGUUGCAGCCACUGGCCUACACCACAGCCACAGCAAUGCAGGAUCUGAGCUGCAUCUGUGACCUACACCACAGCUCACGGCAACGCCAGAUCCUUAACCUACUGAGCGAGGCCAGGGGUUGAACCUAUCCUCACAGAGACAACGUUGGGUCCUUAACCCCUUGAGCCACCACAGGAACUCGGACUUUGAUACCUUGAAGGUGAAAAACUUUGAUCUUGCUUAAGGCAACGUGCUCCUGGUAAGGAGUUUCUGCCCCUUCAAAGAGCUUUAGUCUCAGGGCCGUAGAUGGAACUUGGGCCCCAUGUCCCCUUCCCUCAGCCGCUGCAGUUGACAGUGUGGCUAGAGGGGACAGUCCCAUAUAUGCUGCCUGGGCUCCCCCUUGGGGCACCUCGGUGCCUCUCUGCACUUCCACGCCAGAACUUUCUCUGAAACCUGGCAUACGGUCUCUUAGCGUUGGUCUUGCCAUUAGCUAUGGCUGCAUAACCAGCCCCCCUAAAACUUAGAGGCCAAUCAUUUCUUUGCUUGUGAUUCUGGGAUUUGGGGGUGGUGGUAUGGUUGGUUCUUCAUGUGGCCUCUGCUGGGCUAGAGUGUCCUAGAAGACUCCUGGGUUGGGCCGAUGCCCUCCACAGCGUAGGGCUCUAGGGACUCAGACUUCCCACCUUGCAGCUGGCUUCCCCAAGAGUGCCAAAGGGGAGGCUGCUAAGCCUCUUAACACGUGGGUUUAGAAAUCACAGAAGGUCACUUCCAGGGUAUUCUAGGGAUCUAGACGGACCCAGGGCCAGCCCACGUGCAAGGGAACAGACCUCACCUCUUGCCUGGGGAGUGGCAAGGUCCCUUGGCUGAGGAGAGGGUGGGAUGGUAGCCGUCUGUGUGGAGCAGGGUCUGCCACGUCCAGCCAGUGUGGGAGGGAAUCGGGGGUUAUGUCCGUGGGGGCGUCCUUGACCCGCAAGGCAGGAACUGGUGGAUAAAUGCAGGUCUCAUGGCCUCAGAGGGACACGUCAGAGGUGUAUUCAACAGGCUCUCCCGGGGGUCCCACAGGAACGAGCCCCCACUGCCCUCGGUGGGAUUAGCUCAGCAAUGCGCCUUUCUUUGCCUCGUGCUCUUUCUCCAUCUUCCCCCCCCCCCCCCCCCCCCGCUUUCUGCUGCUUCCUCCCACCAGCUCUCAGUUCUUGUCUUAGGCAUCGCUCUCCUGGGAAACCAAACCUAAACACUCAGUUUCCUCAUUAGAAAAAAAAAAACCUCCUUAAAUCUGGCUAUAAAAUAUUGCACCUGGCUCCUGGGCUGUUGAGUAAUCCCACAGGAAUGGAUGUGAAAGGGCUUUGUAAACGUGGGUGGCCCAGAACCGAGGCGAGGGGUCACUGUGAGCAGAGGUAGCACGGGUCGGGAAGGGGGUGGCUGGCCAGCGCCCCCCAGCACCCCUCCUCCUCCGUCCUCAGGGGCUGGUGACCAGAAGGGACACUGCUGCCUUGGAGAUGAUGAGAGGUGAGGACAGGGAGGUGGGGGGCAAGGGGCUUCCCGGAGUGUGGAGGAAUAAGGAGAACCAUGCCCCCUACCUGCCUACGGAUUCAGGUGACCUGGCACAAUUAGGUGACUCACCAGGCCAGUGCAACCUGUGACAAGGGCCCUCGAGAGCAUCCAUCCAGCCUCGCAGGGACUUGCCCUCGAGGAAGAAGCCUUGCCUCCUGAGUUGGCCUCUGUCCGGGGAAGACAGGGACCAAAUGACAUAGGGAUGGCCCGGGAUUCUGGGUCGCUUCCUCUCCAUUCCAAACAGAGAAGCCAAUCCCUUUUCCAUGCUGGCCCCGCGGUCGGGACCCAAGGUGAACGAGACACUCCCUGCUCUCUCAGAGGCCAAAGACCAGGAGGCAGGCCACGUGAACAGCAUCGAAGCAGCCGGGUUGCUGGGGGCAGGGGGCUCUGGACUCAGAGCAGGGGCCUCUGACUCCGGAAUCUGGGAGGGGGCUAGUAACUGUGGAUGUCUUCCUGUAGAAGCUGAUGUCCACCUUUGCCGCCCUUGCCAGGAGAGGGGACCGGUAUCCCAGACGGAGGAAGUAGCAUGAGCAAAGGCAGGGCAGCCCACGCUCUGGGAGACCUCACUCUGUCUGGAGCCUAGAAAGGCAGAGGGGUGGCAGAUGGGGCUGGAGGGAGAGGCGCGGCGGGAAGAGUAACGGGAGCCCCACAGGAGUUUAAAGCAGUGGCUCAGGGGUUCCUGUUGGGCUCAUUGGGUGAAGAACCCGACAGAGUGUCCAUGAGGAGGCAGGUUCAAUUCCUGGCCUCACUCAGUGGGUUAAAGAUCCAGUGUUACUGCAGCUGUGGUGUAGGUUGCAGAUGUGGCUCAGAUCUGGCAUUGCUGUGGCUAUGGCCUAGGCCUGCAGCUGCAGCUCUGAUUCGACCCCUAGCCUGGGAACCUCCAUAUGCUGUGGGUGCAGCUGUAAAAAGAAAGAAAAAUAAAUAAAGAAGGGGCUCAGGCUUGAGGUUGGGCUCCACCCUCCUGGUUGCAGUGAUCACCACUGGAGACCAGCUAAGGGGGUUCAUUCAUUCAUUCAUUCAACAAACAAGGGCUCCGUGGUGCCCUCCAGGCAUCAGCCCUUGUGCUGCAGGGGGCGUCCAGGUGAGGGGCUGCAGUGGCUUGGAUGGUGGCCAGGAUGGAGAGAAGAGGCCAAGAUUCGGGGAGGCGCUCUCACUGCAUUUACCCAAACACAUCUUGGCAAUUCUCAAAUGGGCCUUUGGUUCCUGGACCAGUUGUGUAUGCAUUUGGAAAUUGGGGAUUUGCUAUUUCAGGGGUGGAUGCAGAUGAGCAAGGCUGAACCCAAGCGUCAGGCAAGUCCCCCACCCCCAGGGAGGCAGCCAUUCCCAGAGAUGCCGCCCAGAGCAGCACAGUCCAGGCUCCCUCCUUCCUCUCCCUGCCUCUGCUGCCCCAGGCUCCAGAAAGCUCCCGUGCAAUCACCCCGAAGAUACCCUUUCCAGGAAGGGGCUGAGACCCAAACAUCCCGGUUUCUGUUCAUCGGUGCUGGCACAGAGCUGAGUGACUCCUCCAGGAUCACACAGGUCACACAGCCCCAAAUGGGACUGAGUUCGGGCCUGUUUCCUCUUUCUGUGCUCCUCUCCCCCUCGGACCGCCCGAAGGUCUCCUCCAUCUGAUGGUGGGUUUGCUAAGGAUGUCUCCUCCAUCAGAUUAGGAACGCUCUGGAGCAAACGCGAGUCAGGGAAGACUUUUUGCCACCAUUGAAUAGUGGUUGGCAUCUGUGAAGAAUCCUCUCUUUGCCUCAGUCUCCUCAUUUGUAAAGAGGGAUUAAUAACAAUAACACUACCCAUUGUGAGGGUUAAAAGACAUAAAAUAGAAGAGAUGAAAUUAAGAGGCUUGGGGGUACAGACGGAACAUAAAUACCAAGCACAGACCAUGCCAAAUAGCCAGAAAUAAGAGCAAAGGGGACCAAACUGUGGGUGCCGUGGGGGGGAUUUUGUCUAUUUUCCACGCUGUCAUUUUCCAAGUGCCAGGACAGAGCCUGGUCCACAGCAGGUGCUCAGUGAACGUUAGUUGAAGGGAAGAAUGACGAGUCUGGGUGGCGACGGCGGAGAGCAGCGCUCACGAUUGGGGUGGGAAGCCUUCUGGAGGUAGCAGGGCAGGCCCCGCAGCUGGGGGGCUGCUGGGAGUGGGCGUGUCUGCCUCGGAACCCAUGACACUGGGGGUUGAACAGCGCAUCCCCUGUAGGUCUCACUGACCAGGGUUGUGUACCUGGUGUCAGUGGGGAGACUUCCGGGCCAGGGUUUCCUCUAAACCCUCCUCCAUCUGCCGUCCACCUGCCGUCCACAGGCCGCACCCGGUACCCCGCCUCUGCUCUUGAGCCCUCAGGAAUCCCUCCUGGGCCCCACCCUCUGCUCCAGCUGCUCUCCUGCCUUGUUUCCUGACCUUUCCCUCCGAAAGCUAAUCUUAGCUCAGGUGGCCCAGGACCACACCUCCACCGUCUUCCGUGUUCUUAUCAUCUGAAUUGUUCUGCGAAGAAGUCAUACACCCCAAGCCUUGACUGCCUUCACCGCCAAGGUGGCCACACGCCCCCGGGCCACAGGGGGGGCUCCGAGCUGCUCUCAGAGGGCUUUGUGAGACAGCCAAGCAUGAAAUAAAGGUAGCAAAUAAAACCAUUCCCUCAGAGUUCCUGUCGCGGUUCAGCGGUUAGUGAAUCUGAUGGGCAUCCAUGAGAACUCAGGUUCGAUCCCUGGCCUCGCUCAGUGGGUUAAGGGUCCGGAGUUGCCGUGAGCUGUGGUGUAGGUCACAGACGUGGCUCAGAUCCCACGUUGCUGUGGCUCUGGUGUAGGCUGGUGGCUACAGCUCUGUUUAGACCCCUAGUUGGGAACCUCCAUAUGCC
rnacentral:lncRNA from 1 species